UGGGCAGCCUUUGCAAUAUAACUGAGACACACUGCUCUGCGACUUCCUAAGGAAAGGCCCUGUUCAAUUGUGAAUAUUGAGGGAUAAGAACAAACAUUCUGUACUGAGCAUCCCAGUGUCUAGCCUUCUCUCCAUUGGAUCAUCAUGUUUUCCAACACCUUGUUCAGUGACUGAGUUUCAGGUUCAUUUGAUUCAAUUCCAGGCACUCAAGAAGGACAACAAACAGUUUGAAGAGAAUAUGAAAAGCUACUCCAGGGUGAGGCUGAAGACUGAGUCUCGAGUGACUACCAGAUUUUUUUUUACCUCAGAAUCAUAGAAUCAGAGAAGAUUAGGGUUGGAAGAGACCUCAGGCGGGCAUCUAGUCCAACCCCCUGCUCAAAGCAGGACCAACUCAACUAAAUCAUCCCAACGAGGGCUUUGUCAAGCUGGGCCUUAAAAACCUCUAAGGAUGGAGAUUCCACCACCUCAGCAUUUGUAGGUUAUAUUGUAAAGCAGUGUCCAGGCUUUUCAGCUUUAGGCCUGAACAGAUAUCAAAAAGGUCAAGUGGCCAUGCGUUUGGUACUUGGGGGAGGCCUCCAGCCCCCUUCACUCAGUGGGAGUAGAAACAACCUGCAGGUGCCCUGCUAGGGAUUUUCUGGCAUGGGGCAGUGGGCAUAAAGUCAGUGUAACCCACUCCUCUGCCUCACUACACACAGCUUCUGGCACAGGGGAUAUGACUAACUGGGAAAAUGUCUGUAUUACUUUUUAUGACUAUUACAUGUGACUCAGUUUCCCUAUUCAGUGUUGUAUUGCUGCCUGCCUGAAUGCAUAGAGUUAAAUCAAAGGAGACUGUAAAAAGGUUGUUUCGAGGCUAGGAUGUUUCAAGGCUUGCGGUAAAAGGAGACUUAAGCCUUCCAAGACCCUAGAACAGGGAGGGGAUUCUGAAGUAAACUAAGAUAAAAUGAUGGGCUGGGAAGACAGACAGAGAGAGAGCAGGAUAGGUGGCUGCUCCUUGCCAGGGAUGGAGCAAGUAAGUAACAGCCAUGAGUGUAAGCCUGUUACUGUUGCUACAUUUUGUCUAAAUGGUUUGUACCUUUGAGGAAUGAAUAAAUCAUGCUUUGUUCUGAAGAAGCUCUUUUUAGUCACUUUAAUCAGCUGCUGUUACAAGCUUCCAAAGGGGAUACCAUGGCAGGGUCCAACCCCAGGUGGAUCUGUUGAAGUAGUCACAGUCAGUACCCAGGGGGCUGUAACCCAGGUCCUGGUCAGAGAGUGGGCAAAUUGCAGAAUUCCACCACAGGAGAGAUAGAGACCUGAAGCCUGACACCUGUGCAGGUUGUACUCAGGGAGACCCCCAAGAAGGGACAGCAGUGCAGCUAUCCUGGUAACCGUGAUGAAGGGGAUACCAGAAGUUGAGAAGAGAGCACUUUGCACUGUGGAUAUUCCUAGCUGAUGUAUGGUCCAUAAGGGACCGUCACAAGUUAGAAUGUCCCACAUUUAGAAAUGUCCAGAUUUUUUGGAGAAACUUUAGACUAGAACUGGUUAAAACUAGUGAAAAGUAGGAGAAGAGGUAUGUUAGCAGGUACAGCAGGUGCACUGAUUUAGGGUGUAGCUGUAGAAAGCAACUCUCAGCUCUAACACUUCUGAAUAAUUUAUCAUUAGUGCUUACCCUAUUAUUA